UACUAGUAUCGUUAUUCUUUUAGCACAAAUUUAUAAUUGACUUUCUGUUAAACAUUGCAACAAAAAUUAAUUCUGUAUGAUUACAGUCAUUAAACAAAUGCCUGGUAAUGAAUGCUUUCUUAUUAGCAUUCCUCAAAUCACUGGGGUAAUACCAUAUAAGGCUGUUGCUCCAUUGUCAGAUUAAUUGGGAUGCACAACCUGCCUUUUGCAGUAGAGCCUGCACACAGCUUUAGAGCAGCCGGACCAUGAUUUAAGGCUACUGCUGGACUAAUUUAUCUUCGAGUUUUUUUCCUAUUGCUCUUGCCAUUCCGUUAGGUACAAUUUACAAGUUAAUUACAGCAUACAAGUAGCUUAAGGCAAUUUCUACCUGCUAAAAAAAAGCAGUGUGUUUUUGAACACCAAAAUGCAGGCGAGAGCUCUCCCACCAUUCUUCUUUUGAUGCCGAAACUAACCCAAAUAAUAAGGACUGUGAAGAUUUUCACCUGUUUUUGCAUUGGGACGGUCACCCCAAGAAUCACCUGCCUUCUUAGCAAGCAGGACAGAAAUAGUUAAGUCCCGAAGGCUGUGAGUUAAAAACUCUGCCUGAGAGACACUCAAUGUGAGGUGUGCCUGCCAGGUGUGGGGUAGCACUGCCAGGUGUGGACGGAGAAAGGCUGCCCUCCUGCAACUCCGCUUCACAGUCAAGGUCGUCUGGUGCCACCUUAGCAACGGGCCCGGUUCUGUAGAGGACACUGAACGAUCACACCCUGCAAGUCAGCUGACUGCCGUGUCAUCGCUGCUGCUUUCUGCAUCAUCGCACUGCCCCAGCCCUGGUUCCUGCCGUUUCCUCAUCGCAAAGCAUACAACUAGGCAAAAAGCGACAGUUGGAAAGUGUUCUUUUCCUGCUGCUACCUAGCAUUUCUUCCGUGAGGAGUACUUACCUUUGUUUAGCCAGGAGCAGAGAAGCAGUCUGAAUGCACACAAUGGCUUCACACUUGGCAGCGUGCAUUUCCAGCAGAGCAGGUACUGCUUGGAGCCUGGUGGUCAGACUGCCCCUGGUGGAGCGCGGCUGGGUCCCCAGCACUUGUGGGAAUAGCGUGCGGGCUUCUCACGCCGCGCCGCUCUACCUGCGGGAAUAAAGGCUAGGACAAAGGAGAUGCUGAUGCCGUUUGUCUGGCUGGGGCCUGGGCGGGCAGACUCCACUGAACUGAUGCUGUGUGACUCUCCCAGCUCCCAGUUCGGGCUGGUCACGGGGGCUGGAGCAGAUCCCUGCUCCUCAGUUAGAACACGGUUUAAAGGAGAAACCAGACUCACUGACCUAAAUCCAUCCCAGUCCUCUCUGGAUGCGGGGACAGCUGUCGACUAGCAGUGACACAGCCAGCCAUCAAGUGGAGAAUCGUUGCGACUGCAGUCUGGGUGCAGGUGGAGCCUGGGAGAUUGACAGUUUAAUUGCGGUCCUCCGAUGGCUUCUUAUUUUCCUAAAUAAUUGUGCUCGCUAAGUGUACAGUUGCCUGGAUUAGACUGCCUUCCACACAGUCUUCGUCUGCGCUGGUUGGAAAUCAGGGUGCCAGGCAAGACUGUUUAGUGCUGGCUCCUUCCUGCGUGAUGUGAUUCAACUAGGAUGGGUCACACUGACAACAAAGAAGGAAGCAGAAAGCAUCACUUUAUCUUCUCUUGUGAUGUUAGCGGAACAUAACUGUUCUUCUUCGCAAUGAUGCCCUCCUCUGUGUGUGUGUGCGUGUGUUUGUGUGUUUGUGUGUGUGUUUUAAUUCAUCUAAUCGAAGAGCCUAACAGAUAUCAUCAUGGAUGUGUGCCUUUUUAAAAAUGAUUUGGAAAAAAAGGCAGCCUGUGGAGACAGCGAUUUGAGACAGCUGCACAUUUAGGUUAUUGCCAAUUUGAAAUACUUUGGUUUGUGAAGCCGAGCCCUAAGAGACAAGCUGGGUAACUGAGAAAGAGAUCGUAGAUAAAGAAAUAAAAAUGACAAGCGUAAUGGAGGCUCUGUGGAAGGACUGUCAGAGCAUCAGUUCCUGGAUGGCAAUUUCGCCAGGCUGAAAUUGAAUAAUUCAUAGAUUGAAAUUACCCUGCUUUCACCUUUCCAUUUAAACCGGCAUGAUCUGAAUCUCUAAUAAAUUUUCCAGAUAAAGUAAAAUGCCAGUUUGAAUCUGAAGAGCUUUUAAAACCAGAUGCUACAUCCCUGAAUCUUUCGGUAUCUUUCACAAUUAUCCUGUGAGGACUGCACUUCAUCACGAAGCAGCAUUACUAGUGAAAAUUACUGUGAUUACAAUAGCAACAGUAGAAUACCGUCAAAUGAUCUCUAAUUUACCUAAUUUGCUAAGACUGUGUGCUUUUAACGCCCAUUGUAUGUCACCCUGCCGGGCACCCGGAAUCUCUCUUGCACCGAAACAAAAGUGAGGCAGUGUGUGUGAUACCUUAACUCCCAAAGCAAAGAACAUUCUCCUAGGUUACAACGUCUCUUACGUUGGGUUUGCAUUUGUGUGUGUGUGUGUGUGUGUGUGUGUGUGUUUCCAUUGCCUAUACCCCAAAUGUCCAUUUGGGGAAUUGGUGAACGUGUUGUGUAUUUGGGGUUGAUUCUUGGAUACAGGAGAGCACAGACUUCUUAAUUUAUACACCCUUUUAAUUUUAAUGUAUACAAGCAUGUGUUUACCAGAAGGGAGGGAAGAUUCUGUUCUAGGAGGAGUUUAAAAAUGCAGCCAAGAUGAAGUGUUCGUCUUUGUUUCUUUUUUGAAACCCCUCUCUGCUUUCAGGUUAGAGAGCCUUUCAGGGAAUUAUAAUCCUGGUGUGAUGUGUUUAAAAAAAAACAAAAACAAAAACGUUUCAGAUUGAGAAGAAGCUCAAGAGACAUCCAGUAAUAACUCUGUGCAGCCCUUAUUGAGAGCAUGUGUGCCUGAGUGAGUACAGGAAGCUUUGGUCCUAGACUUUGGUUGUGUUUGUGUCUGCUCGCUCUCCAAGUAGAAGUCUCACCCAAAUAAGUGCUGCAGGUUUUGUCUCAGGGGUCACUGUGCCACCUGAGAGAGUUCUUCAAGCCUCCGUGGAGAACAGACUGUGAUCAUUUGAUAGGCACAGGCACUUGUGGAAUUUCACCCUCAGUAGCAGACAGUAUGUGGGCUUCUGCUAGUCAAGUGAUUUAAGUUUGACUCUCUAGGUAGGGUUUCCGAGGGAUGACAAUCUCUGCGGAGGAAGGUAGGGUUGAAACAUACCUGUCUAAUGUUCCGAGUUGUUUGCUGAAGACCCUGAGCUCUGGUAUAUUUCUUAAUCCAUUAUCCCAGCUUUACCUCUUCCUGCACCCCUGCAAACACCUUUGGCAGAAGGAGGUCUAAGAAGGCCCCUCCCCCCAGCUUUCAGUUUGGUGUGGAGCAAAAACAACCAAUAGAACUCGCUGAAUGAUCAAGCUCUUCCAGAUGAGAAAACCCCCACCACGUGGAAGACAUUAACUGCUUGAUGACCAUGAGCACGUAGCCCUCACGCCUACUGGGGCCUAAGGAUUGAUCACGUUAACCCCUGUGACGCCUGUUACCUCACCAUCAACCAAUCAGAGAAUUGUGCACGAGCUGAUCACGUACCCUGGGACGCCCCUCCCUCACCUGGCCUUUAAAGAUACUUUGCUGAAACCCACGGAGGAGUUGCGUGUUUUGAGCACUAGCUGUCUUGGACGCCUCGCUUGGUGCCCUGCAGUAAACGCUGCACAUUCCUUCACCACAACCAGGCGUCAGUAACUUGGCUUCACUGCGCGUGGGUGAGAGGACCCAAGUCUGGUUGGGUAACAAGGUGGGCUGGAGCGUCCACACACGUGGGAGACGCCUUUCCUAACGCAAGAAAGCACUGGAAGUGGGCAGAGGUGCUGGUCAGGCCAGAGGCUGCUGCCUGUACCGCCGCCACAUUCUGGCCUAGAAACCCGGAGCAGGGAAUGAACCCCACGUUCCGUUCCGGUCUUGGGAAGGAGGAUUUGUCAAGAUUCUCACAGCCAAAGACUCUUAUCUGCAGACCUGCCAAAGGAAGUGAUUGCCAAAGGGUCUUUUAAAUGAAGAAUGGAGACAAUCUGUUGCCUCUUUUCAUUCCGAACCACCACGGUAUUGGAUUUGAAGUGCUAUUUGGACAUUUAAAAAUAAUUCUCUUUUGCUAGACUGGGAAGCUCUCCAGGCUAAGGACUCUUUUUCCUUCAUCAUGAUAUUUCCAGCUCAUACAGAAGUUUAUUGCACUUACUUGAUCAUUAAAAUGUUUAGUGAAGAAAAGAAGAAAACUGCAGCUGUAUUAGUUCAUUGUUGUUGUUGUUGUUGUUUUUAAGUUUAUUCGUUAAAGAUCUGUGGGCUGGGCUUCCCUGGUGGUGCAGUGGUUAAGAAUCCACCUGCCAAUGCAGGGGACACAGGUUCGAUCCCUGGUCUGGGAAGAUCCCACAUGCCGCAGAGCAACUAAGCCCGUGUGCCACAACUACUGAGCCUGCGCUCUAGAGCCCAGGAGCCACAACUACUGAGCCCACGUGCCACAACUACUGAAGCCUGUGCACCUAGAGCCCAUGCUCCGCAAAAAGAGAAGCCACUGCAAUGAGAAGCCCGUGCACCAUAACGAAGAGUAGCCCCCGCUCGCCACAACUGGAGAAAGCCUGAGUGCAGCAACAAAGACCCAAUGCAGCCAAAAAUAAAUAAAAUGAAAAUAAAUAAAUUAAAAAAAAAAGUCUGUGGGCUAACUAACUCCUAGGAGAAUGGUUGAUACAAAACCGAAUAAACAAACCCUGGUCCUGGUCUAACCUAGUUAGCACAUCCAACUUUCACAUAUUGUUUAAUUUAUAAGGGAAGACUGGGUCUGCAUGUAUUAACCUUGAAAUAAAUGCUAUGUUAAUAUGAUAUUUAAAUUCCCACUCUGAUUUCAUUUAUCAAUAUAAGGUCUGACAUUCCUUAAAAAUAAGCUAUAACUCAGAAGUAAUCAUCAAUCAAGUUACAAAAUUCAUAUCCAACUAAAUGUGAGACACUGAAUACAUACAUAUAUAUUUAUCUCCACUUCCUCCUGGA